CGACAGGAAAGGAACUCACAGAUGAAAUG
rnacentral:piRNA from 1 species